rnacentral:rRNA from 1 species
UACGUAGGGGGCAAGCGUUGUCCGGAAUCAUUGGGCGUAAAGAGCGCGUAGGCGGCCAACUAAGUCCUGCGUGAAAUCUCGGGGCUCAACCCCGAGCGGUCGUGGGAAACUGGUUGGCUAGAGUGCGGGAGAGGAGAGUGGAAUUCCUGGUGUAGCGGUGAAAUGCGCAGAUAUCAGGAAGAACACCCGUGGCGAAGGCGGCUCUCUGGAACGCAACUGACGCUGAGACGCGAAAGCGUGGGGAGCAAACAGG